AUUUUUUUUCUUAAGUGAAAACACUCCUCCUCAAUUUUUGGAUAUGUUGUUUAUUAAUAAGCAUACUUUCUUAAAAAAAAAUUAAAAUCCAAAAUAAAAAGUGUAUUCUCCGUUUUUGCGGUGUUUAACAAAGACAUGUUUCCUCCAUAAGAAUCGCACACAUAGAAUCUUUAAAAUUUAUUUUUUCUGUUAAGUGAAAACACUCCUCCUCAAUUUUUGGAUAUGUUGUUUAUUAAUAAGCAUACUUUCUUAAAAAAAAUUAAAAUCCAAAAUAAAAAGUGUAUUCUCCGUUUUUGAGGUGAUUAACUACGACAUGUGUCUCGUCUAUAAGAAUCACACACGUACAAACUUUAAAAAUUAUUUUUUUUCUUAAGUGAAAACACUCCUCCUCAAUUUUUGGAUAUGUUGUUUAUUAAUAAGCAUACUUUCUUAAAAAAAAUUAAAAUUCAAAAUAAAAAGUGUAUUUCUCCGUUUUUGAGGUGAUUAACUACGACAUGUGUCUCGUCUAUAAGAAUCACACACGUACAAUCUUUAAAAAUUAUUUUUUUUUCUUAAGUGAAAACACUCCUCCUCAAUUUUUGGAUAUGUUGUUUAUUAAUAAGCAUGCUUUAUGAAAAAAAAUUAAAAUCCAAAAUAAAAAGUGUAUUUCUCCGUUUUUGAGGUGAUUAACUACGACAUGUCUCGUCCAUAAGAAUCACAAACGUACAAUCUUUAAAAAUUAUUUUUUUUCUUAAGUGAAAACACUCCUCCUCAAUUUUUGGAUAUGUUGUUUAUUAAUAAGCAUACUUUCUUAAAAAAAAUUAAAAUCCAAAAUAAAAAGUGUAUUCUCCGUUUUUGAGGUGAUUAACUACGACAUGUGUCUCGUCUAUAAGAAUCACACACGUACAAACUUUAAAAAUUAUUUUUUUUCUUAAGUGAAAACACUCCUCAAUUUUUGGAUAUGUUGUUUAUUAAUAAGCAUACUUUCUUAAAAAAAAUUAAAAUCCAAAAUAAAAAGUGUAUUCUCCGUUUUUGCGGUGUUUAACAAAGACAUGUUUCCUCCAUAACAAUCGCACACAUAGAAUCUUUAAAAUUUAUUUUUUCUGUUAAGUGAAAACACUCCUCCUCAAUUUUUGGAUAUGUUGUUUAUUAAUAAGCAUACUUUCUUAAAAAAAAAUUAAAAUCCAAAAUAAAAAGUGUAUUCUCCGUUUUUGAAGUGAUUAACUACGACAUGUCUCGUACAUAAGAAUCACAAACGUACAAUCUUUAAAAAUUAUUUUUUUUCUUAAGUGAAAACACUCCUCCUCAAUUUUUGGAUAUGUUGUUUAUUAAUAAGCAUACUUUCUUAAAAAAAAUUAAAAUUUAAAAUAAAAAGUGUAUUUCUCCGUUUUUGAGGUGAUUAACUACGACAUGUGUCUCGUCUAUAAGAAUCACACACGUACAAUCUUUAAAAAUUAUUUUUUUUCUUAAGUGAAAACACUCCUCCUCAAUUUUUGGAUAUGUUGUUUAUUAAUAAGCAUGCUUUAUGAAAAAAAAAUUAAAAUCCAAAAUAAAAAGUGUAUUUCUCCGUUUUUGAGGUGAUUAACUACGACAUGUCUCGUCCAUAAGAAUCACACACGUACAAACUUUAAAAAUUAUUUUUUUUCUUAAGUGAAAACACUCCUCCUCAAUUUUUGGAUAUAUUGUUUACUAAUAAGCAUACUUUCUUAAAAAAAAUUAAAAUCCAAAAUAAAAAGUGUAUUCUCCGUUUUUGCGGUGUUUAACAAAGACAUGUUUCCUCAAUAAGAAUCGCACACAUACAUUCUUUAAAAUUUAUUUUUUCUGUUAAGUGAAAACACUCCUCCUCAAUUUUUGGAUAUGUUAUUUAUUAAUAAGCAUACUUUCUUAAAAAAAAUUAAAAUCCAAAAUAAAAAGUGUAUUCUCCGUUUUUGAGGUGAUUAACUACGACAUGUCUCGUCCAUAAGAAUCACAAACGUACAAUCUUUAAAAAUUAUUUUUUUUCUUAAGUGAAAACACUCCUCCUCAAUUUUUGGAUAUGUUGUUUAUUAAUAAGCAUACUUUCUUAAAAAAAAUUAAAAUCCAAAAUAAAAAGUGUAUUUCUCCGUUUUUGAGGUGAUUACAUGUGUCUCGUCUAUAAGAAUCACACACGUACAAACUUUAAAAAUUAUUUUUUUUCUUCAGUGAAAACACUCCUCCUCAAUUUUUGGAUAUGUUGUUUAUUAAUAAGCAUACUUUCUUUAAAAAAAUUAAAAUCCAAAAUAAAAAGUGUAUUCUCCGUUUUUGAGGUGAUUAACUACGACAUGUCUCGUCCAUAAGAAUCACAAACGUACAAUCUUUAAAAAUUAUUUUUUUUCUUAAGUGAAAACACUCCUCCUCAAUUUUUGGAUAUGUUGUUUAUUAAUAAGCAUACUUUCUUAAAAAAAAUUAAAAUUUAAAAUAAAAAGUGUAUUUCUCCGUUUUUGAGGUGAUUAACUACGACAUGUGUCUCGUCUAUAAGAAUCACACACGUACAAUCUUUAAAAAUUAUUUUUUUUCUUCAGUGAAAACACUCCUCCUCAAUUUUUGGAUAUGUUGUUUAUUAAUAAGCAUACUUUCUUUAAAAAAAUUAAAAUCCAAAAUAAAAAGUGUAUUCUCCGUUUUUGAGGUGAUUAACUACGACAUGUCUCGUCCAUAAGAAUCACAAACGUACAAUCUUUAAAAAUUAUUUUUUUUCUUAAGUGAAAACACUCCUCCUCAAUUUUUGGAUAUAUUGUUUACUAAUAAGCAUACUUUCUUAAAAAAAAUUAAAAUCCAAAAUAAAAAGUGUAUUCUCCGUUUUUGCGGUGUUUAACAAAGACAUGUUUCCUCAAUAAGAAUCGCACACAUAGAAUCUUUAAAAUUUAUUUUUUCUGUUAAGUGAAAACACUCCUCCUCAAGUUUUGGAUAUGUUAUUUAUUAAUAAGCAUACUUUCUUAAAAAAAAUUAAAAUCCAAAAUAAAAAGUGUAUUCUCCGUUUUUGAGGUGAUUAACUACGACAUGUCUCGUCCAUAAGAAUCACAAACGUACAAUCUUUAAAAAUUAUUUUUUUUCUUAAGUGAAAACACUCCUCCUCAAUUUUUGGAUAUGUUGUUUAUUAAUAAGCAUACUUUCUUAAAAAAAAUUAAAAUUUAAAAUAAAAAGUGUAUUUCUCCGUUUUUGAGGUGAUUAACUACGACAUGUGUCUCGUCUAUAAGAAUCACACACGUACAAUCUUUAAAAAUUAUUUUUUUUCUUAAGUGAAAACACUCCUCCUCAAUUUUUGGAUAUGUUGUUUAUUAAUAAGCAUGCUUUAUGAAAAAAAAUUAAAAUCCAAAAUAAAAAGUGUAUUUCUCCGUUUUUGAGGUGAUUAACUACGACAUGUCUCGUCCAUAAGAAUCACACACGUACAAACUUUAAAAAUUAUUUUUUUUCUUAAGUGAAAACACUCCUCCUCAAUUUUUGGAUAUAUUGUUUACUAAUAAGCAUACUUUCUUAAAAAAAAUUAAAAUCCAAAAUAAAAAGUGUAUUCUCCGUUUUUGCGGUGUUUAACAAAGACAUGUUUCCUCAAUAAGAAUCGCACACAUAGAAUCUUUAAAAUUUAUUUUUUCUGUUAAGUGAAAACACUCCUCCUCAAUUUUUGGAUAUGUUAUUUAUUAAUAAGCAUACUUUCUUAAAAAAAAUUAAAAUCCAAAAUAAAAAGUGUAUUCUCCGUUUUUGAGGUGAUUAACUACGACAUGUCUCGUCCAUAAGAAUCACAAACGUACAAUGUUUAAAAAUUAUUUUUUUUCUUAAGUGAAAACACUCCUCCUCAAUUUUUGGAUAUGUUGUUUACUAAUAAGCAUACUUUCUUAAAAAAAAUUAAAAUUUAAAAUAAAAAGUGUAUUUCUCCGUUUUUGAGGUGAUUAACUACGACAUGUGUCUCGUCUAUAAGAAUCACACACGUACAAUCUUUAAAAAUUAUUUUUUUUCUUAAGUGAAAACACUCCUCCUCAAUUUUUGGAUAUGUUGUUUAUUAAUAAGCAUGCUUUAUGAAAAAAAAUUAAAAUCAAAAUAAAAAGUGUAUUUCUCCGUUUUUGAGGUGAUUAACUACGACAUGUCUCGUCCAUAAGAAUCACAAACGUACAAUCUUUAAAAAUUAUUUUUUUUCUUAAGUGAAAACACUCCUCCUCAAUUUUUGGAUAUGUUGUUUAUUAAUAAGCAUACUUUCUUAAAAAAAAUUAAAAUCCAAAAUAAAAAGUGUAUUCUCCGUUUUUGCGGUGUUUAACAAAGACAUGUUUCCUCAAUAAGAAUCGCACACAUACAUUCUUUAAAAUUUAUUUUUUCUGUUAAGUGAAAACACUCCUCCUCAAUUUUUGGAUAUGUUAUUUAUUAAUAAGCAUACUUUCUUAAAAAAAAUUAAAAUCCAAAAUAAAAAGUGUAUUCUCCGUUUUUGAGGUGAUUAACUACGACAUGUCUCGUCCAUAAGAAUCACAAACGUACAAUCUUUAAAAAUUAUUUUUUUUCUUAAGUGAAAACACUCCUCCUCAAUUUUUGGAUAUGUUGUUUAUUAAUAAGCAUACUUUCUUAAAAAAAAUUAAAAUCCAAAAUAAAAAGUGUAUUUCUCCGUUUUUGAGGUGAUUACAUGUGUCUCGUCUAUAAGAAUCACACACGUACAAACUUUAAAAAUUAUUUUUUUUCUUCAGUGAAAACACUCCUCCUCAAUUUUUGGAUAUGUUGUUUAUUAAUAAGCAUACUUUCUUUAAAAAAAUUAAAAUCCAAAAUAAAAAGUGUAUUCUCCGUUUUUGAGGUGAUUAACUACGACAUGUCUCGUCCAUAAGAAUCACAAACGUACAAUCUUUAAAAAUUAUUUUUUUUCUUAAGUGAAAACACUCCUCCUCAAUUUUUGGAUAUGUUGUUUAUUAAUAAGCAUACUUUCUUAAAAAAAAUUAAAAUUUAAAAUAAAAAGUGUAUUUCUCCGUUUUUGAGGUGAUUAACUACGACAUGUGUCUCGUCUAUAAGAAUCACACACGUACAAUCUUUAAAAAUUAUUUUUUUUCUUAAGUGAAAACACUCCUCCUCAAUUUUUGGAUAUGUUGUUUAUUAAUAAGCAUGCUUUAUGAAAAAAAAUUAAAAUCCAAAAUAAAAAGUGUAUUUCUCCGUUUUUGAGGUGAUUAACUACGACAUGUCUCGUCCAUAAGAAUCACACACGUACAAACUUUAAAAAUUAUUUUUUUCUUAAGUGAAAACACUCCUCCUCAAUUUUUGGAUAUAUUGUUUACUAAUAAGCAUACUUUCUUAAAAAAAAUUAAAAUCCAAAAUAAAAAGUGUAUUCUCCGUUUUUGCGGUGUUUAACAAAGACAUGUUUCCUCAAUAAGAAUCGCACACAUAGAAUCUUUAAAAUUUAUUUUUUCUGUUAAGUGAAAACACUCCUCCUCAAUUUUUGGAUAUGUUAUUUAUUAAUAAGCAUACUUUCUUAAAAAAAAUUAAAAUCCAAAAUAAAAAGUGUAUUCUCCGUUUUUGAGGUGAUUAACUACGACAUGUCUCGUCCAUAAGAAUCACAAACGUACAAUGUUUAAAAAUUAUUUUUUUUCUUAAGUGAAAACACUCCUCCUCAAUUUUUGGAUAUGUUGUUUAUUAAUAAGCAUACUUUCUUAAAAAAAAUUAAAAUUUAAAAUAAAAAGUGUAUUUCUCCGUUUUUGAGGUGAUUAACUACGACAUGUGUCUCGUCUAUAAGAAUCACACACGUACAAUCUUUAAAAAUUAUUUUUUUUCUUAAGUGAAAACACUCCUCCUCAAUUUUUGGAUAUGUUGUUUAUUAAUAAGCAUGCUUUAUGAAAAAAAAUUAAAAUCAAAAUAAAAAGUGUAUUUCUCCGUUUUUGAGGUGAUUAACUACGACAUGUCUCGUCCAUAAGAAUCACAAACGUACAAUCUUUAAAAAUUAUUUUUUUUCUUAAGUGAAAACACUCCUCCUCAAUUUUUGGAUAUGUUGUUUAUUAAUAAGCAUACUUUCUUAAAAAAAAUUAAAAUCCAAAAUAAAAAGUGUAUUCUCCGUUUUUGAGGUGAUUAACUACGACAUGUGUCUCGUCUAUAAGAAUCACACACGUACAAACUUUAAAAAUUAUUUUUUUUCUUAAGUGAAAACACUCCUCCUCAAUUUUUGGAUAUGUUGUUUAUUAAUAAGCAUACUUUCUUAAAAAAAAUUAAAAUCCAAAAUAAAAAGUGUAUUCUCCGUUUUUGCGGUGUUUAACAAAGACAUGUUUCCUCAAUAAGAAUCGCACACAUACAAUCUUUAAAAUUUAUUUUUUCUGUUAAGUGAAAACACUCCUCCUCAAUUUUUGGAUAUGUUAUUUAUUAAUAAGCAUACUUUCUUAAAAAAAAUUAAAAUCCAAAAUAAAAAGUGUAUUCUCCGUUUUUGAGGUGAUUAACUACGACAUGUCUCGUCCAUAAGAAUCACAAACGUACAAUCUUUAAAAAUUAUUUUUUUUCUUAAGUGAAAACACUCCUCCUCAAUUUUUGGAUAUAUUGUUUACUAAUAAGCAUACUUUCUUAAAAAAAAUUAAAAUCCAAAAUAAAAAGUGUAUUCUCCGUUUUUGCGGUGUUUAACAAAGACAUGUUUCCUCAAUAAGAAUCGCACACAUAGAAUCUUUAAAAUUUAUUUUUUCUGUUAAGUGAAAACACUCCUCCUCAAUUUUUGGAUAUGUUAUUUAUUAAUAAGCAUACUUUCUUAAAAAAAAUUAAAAUCCAAAAUAAAAAGUGUAUUCUCCGUUUUUGAGGUGAUUAACUACGACAUGUCUCGUCCAUAAGAAUCACAAACGUACAAUCUUUAAAAAUUAUUUUUUUUCUUAAGUGAAAACACUCCUCCUCAAUUUUUGGAUAUGUUGUUUAUUAAUAAGCAUACUUUCUUAAAAAAAAUUAAAAUUUAAAAUAAAAAGUGUAUUUCUCCGUUUUUGAGGUGAUUAACUACGACAUGUGUCUCGUCUAUAAGAAUCACACACGUACAAUCUUUAAAAAUUAUUUUUUUUCUUAAGUGAAAACACUCCUCCUCAAUUUUUGGAUAUGUUGUUUAUUAAUAAGCAUGCUUUAUGAAAAAAAAUUAAAAUCCAAAAUAAAAAGUGUAUUUCUCCGUUUUUGAGGUGAUUAACUACGACAUGUCUCGUCCAUAAGAAUCACACACGUACAAACUUUAAAAAUUAUUUUUUUCUUAAGUGAAAACACUCCUCCUCAAUUUUUGGAUAUAUUGUUUACUAAUAAGCAUACUUUCUUAAAAAAAAUUAAAAUCCAAAAUAAAAAGUGUAUUCUCCGUUUUUGCGGUGUUUAACAAAGACAUGUUUCCUCAAUAAGAAUCGCACACAUAGAAUCUUUAAAAUUUAUUUUUUCUGUUAAGUGAAAACACUCCUCCUCAAUUUUUGGAUAUGUUAUUUAUUAAUAAGCAUACUUUCUUAAAAAAAAUUAAAAUCCAAAAUAAAAAGUGUAUUCUCCGUUUUUGAGGUGAUUAACUACGACAUGUCUCGUCCAUAAGAAUCACAAACGUACAAUGUUUAAAAAUUAUUUUUUUUCUUAAGUGAAAACACUCCUCCUCAAUUUUUGGAUAUGUUGUUUAUUAAUAAGCAUACUUUCUUAAAAAAAAUUAAAAUUUAAAAUAAAAAGUGUAUUUCUCCGUUUUUGAGGUGAUUAACUACGACAUGUGUCUCGUCUAUAAGAAUCACACACGUACAAUCUUUAAAAAUUAUUUUUUUUCUUAAGUGAAAACACUCCUCCUCAAUUUUUGGAUAUGUUGUUUAUUAAUAAGCAUGCUUUAUGAAAAAAAAUUAAAAUCAAAAUAAAAAGUGUAUUUCUCCGUUUUUGAGGUGAUUAACUACGACAUGUCUCGUCCAUAAGAAUCACAAACGUACAAUCUUUAAAAAUUAUUUUUUUUCUUAAGUGAAAACACUCCUCCUCAAUUUUUGGAUAUGUUGUUUAUUAAUAAGCAUACUUUCUUAAAAAAAAUUAAAAUCCAAAAUAAAAAGUGUAUUCUCCGUUUUUGAGGUGAUUAACUACGACAUGUGUCUCGUCUAUAAGAAUCACACACGUACAAACUUUAAAAAUUAUUUUUUUUCUUAAGUGAAAACACUCCUCCUCAAUUUUUGGAUAUGUUGUUUAUUAAUAAGCAUACUUUCUUAAAAAAAAUUAAAAUCCAAAAUAAAAAGUGUAUUCUCCGUUUUUGCGGUGUUUAACAAAGACAUGUUUCCUCAAUAAGAAUCGCACACAUACAAUCUUUAAAAUUUAUUUUUUCUGUUAAGUGAAAACACUCCUCCUCAAUUUUUGGAUAUGUUAUUUAUUAAUAAGCAUACUUUCUUAAAAAAAAUUAAAAUCCAAAAUAAAAAGUGUAUUCUCCGUUUUUGAGGUGAUUAACUACGACAUAUCUCGUCCAUAAGAAUCACAAACGUACAAUCUUUAAAAAUAAUUUUUUUUCUUAAGUGAAAACACUCCUCCUCAAUUUUUGGAUAUGUUGUUUAUUAAUAAGCAUACUUUCUUAAAAAAAAUUAAAAUUUAAAAUAAAAAGUGUAUUUCUCCGUUUUUGAGGUGAUUAACUACGACAUGUGUCUCGUCUAUAAGAAUCACACACGUACAAUCUUUAAAAAUUAUUUUUUUUCUUAAGUGAAAACACUCAUCCUCAAUUUUUGGAUAUGUUGUUUAUUAAUAAGCAUACUUUCUUAAAAAAAAUUAAAAUCCAAAAUAAAAAGUGUAUUCUCCGUUUUUGCGGUGUUUAACAAAGACAUGUUUCCUCCAUAAGAAUCGCACACAUAGAAUCUUUAAAAUUUAUUUUUUCUGUUAAGUGAAAACACUCCUCCUCAAUUUUUGGAUAUGUUGUUUAUUAAUAAGCAUACUUUCUUAAAAAAAAUUAAAAUCCAAAAUAAAAAGUGUAUUCUCCGUUUUUGCGGUGUUUAACAAAGACAUGUUUCCUCCAUAAGAAUCGCACUCAUACAAUCUUUAAAAUUUAUUUUUUCUGUUAAGUGAAAACACUCCUCCUCAAUUUUUGGAUAUGUUGUUUAUUAAUAAGCAUACUUUCUUAAAAAAAAUUAAAAUCCAAAAUAAAAAGUGUAUUCUCCGUUUUUGCGGUGUUUAACAAAGACAUGUUUCCUCCAUAAGAAUCGCACUCAUACAAUCUUUAAAAUUUAUUUUUUCUGUUAAGUGAAAACACUCCUCCUCAAUUUUUGGAUAUGUUGUUUAUUAAUAAGCAUACUUUCUUUAAAAAAAUUAAAAUCCAAAAUAAAAAGUGUAUUCUCCGUUUUUGAGGUGAUUAACUACGACAUGUCUCGUCCAUAAGAAUCACAAACGUACAAUCUUUAAAAAUUAUUUUUUUUCUUAAGUGAAAACACUCCUCCUCAAUUUUUGGAUAUAUUGUUUACUAAUAAGCAUACUUUCUUAAAAAAAAUUAAAAUCCAAAAUAAAAAGUGUAUUCUCCGUUUUUGCGGUGUUUAACAAAGACAUGUUUCCUCAAUAAGAAUCGCACACAUAGAAUCUUUAAAAUUUAUUUUUUCUGUUAAGUGAAAACACUCCUCCUCAAUUUUUGGAUAUGUUAUUUAUUAAUAAGCAUACUUUCUUAAAAAAAAUUAAAAUCCAAAAUAAAAAGUGUAUUCUCCGUUUUUGAGGUGAUUAACUACGACAUGUCUCGUCCAUAAGAAUCACAAACGUACAAUCUUUAAAAAUUAUUUUUUUUCUUAAGUGAAAACACUCCUCCUCAAUUUUUGGAUAUGUUGUUUAUUAAUAAGCAUACUUUCUUAAAAAAAAUUAAAAUUUAAAAUAAAAAGUGUAUUUCUCCGUUUUUGAGGUGAUUAACUACGACAUGUGUCUCGUCUAUAAGAAUCACACACGUACAAUCUUUAAAAAUUAUUUUUUUUCUUAAGUGAAAACACUCCUCCUCAAUUUUUGGAUAUGUUGUUUAUUAAUAAGCAUGCUUUAUGAAAAAAAAUUAAAAUCCAAAAUAAAAAGUGUAUUUCUCCGUUUUUGAGGUGAUUAACUACGACAUGUCUCGUCCAUAAGAAUCACACACGUACAAACUUUAAAAAUUAUUUUUUUCUUAAGUGAAAACACUCCUCCUCAAUUUUUGGAUAUAUUGUUUACUAAUAAGCAUACUUUCUUAAAAAAAAUUAAAAUCCAAAAUAAAAAGUGUAUUCUCCGUUUUUGCGGUGUUUAACAAAGACAUGUUUCCUCAAUAAGAAUCGCACACAUAGAAUCUUUAAAAUUUAUUUUUUCUGUUAAGUGAAAACACUCCUCCUCAAUUUUUGGAUAUGUUAUUUAUUAAUAAGCAUACUUUCUUAAAAAAAAUUAAAAUCCAAAAUAAAAAGUGUAUUCUCCGUUUUUGAGGUGAUUAACUACGACAUGUCUCGUCCAUAAGAAUCACAAACGUACAAUGUUUAAAAAUUAUUUUUUUUCUUAAGUGAAAACACUCCUCCUCAAUUUUUGGAUAUGUUGUUUAUUAAUAAGCAUACUUUCUUAAAAAAAAUUAAAAUUUAAAAUAAAAAGUGUAUUUCUCCGUUUUUGAGGUGAUUAACUACGACAUGUGUCUCGUCUAUAAGAAUCACACACGUACAAUCUUUAAAAAUUAUUUUUUUUCUUAAGUGAAAACACUCCUCCUCAAUUUUUGGAUAUGUUGUUUAUUAAUAAGCAUGCUUUAUGAAAAAAAAUUAAAAUCAAAAUAAAAAGUGUAUUUCUCCGUUUUUGAGGUGAUUAACUACGACAUGUCUCGUCCAUAAGAAUCACAAACGUACAAUCUUUAAAAAUUAUUUUUUUUCUUAAGUGAAAACACUCCUCCUCAAUUUUUGGAUAUGUUGUUUAUUAAUAAGCAUACUUUCUUAAAAAAAAUUAAAAUCCAAAAUAAAAAGUGUAUUCUCCGUUUUUGAGGUGAUUAACUACGACAUGUGUCUCGUCUAUAAGAAUCACACACGUACAAACUUUAAAAAUUAUUUUUUUUCUUAAGUGAAAACACUCCUCCUCAAUUUUUGGAUAUGUUGUUUAUUAAUAAGCAUACUUUCUUAAAAAAAAUUAAAAUCCAAAAUAAAAAGUGUAUUCUCCGUUUUUGCGGUGUUUAACAAAGACAUGUUUCCUCAAUAAGAAUCGCACACAUACAAUCUUUAAAAUUUAUUUUUUCUGUUAAGUGAAAACACUCCUCCUCAAUUUUUGGAUAUGUUAUUUAUUAAUAAGCAUACUUUCUUAAAAAAAAUUAAAAUCCAAAAUAAAAAGUGUAUUCUCCGUUUUUGAGGUGAUUAACUACGACAUAUCUCGUCCAUAAGAAUCACAAACGUACAAUCUUUAAAAAUAAUUUUUUUUCUUAAGUGAAAACACUCCUCCUCAAUUUUUGGAUAUGUUGUUUAUUAAUAAGCAUACUUUCUUAAAAAAAAUUAAAAUUUAAAAUAAAAAGUGUAUUUCUCCGUUUUUGAGGUGAUUAACUACGACAUGUGUCUCGUCUAUAAGAAUCACACACGUACAAUCUUUAAAAAUUAUUUUUUUUCUUAAGUGAAAACACUCAUCCUCAAUUUUUGGAUAUGUUGUUUAUUAAUAAGCAUACUUUCUUAAAAAAAAUUAAAAUCCAAAAUAAAAAGUGUAUUCUCCGUUUUUGCGGUGUUUAACAAAGACAUGUUUCCUCCAUAAGAAUCGCACACAUAGAAUCUUUAAAAUUUAUUUUUUCUGUUAAGUGAAAACACUCCUCCUCAAUUUUUGGAUAUGUUGUUUAUUAAUAAGCAUACUUUCUUAAAAAAAAUUAAAAUCCAAAAUAAAAAGUGUAUUCUCCGUUUUUGCGGUGUUUAACAAAGACAUGUUUCCUCCAUAAGAAUCGCACUCAUACAAUCUUUAAAAUUUAUUUUUUCUGUUAAGUGAAAACACUCCUCCUCAAUUUUUGGAUAUGUUGUUUAUUAAUAAGCAUACUUUCUUAAAAAAAAUUAAAAUCCAAAAUAAAAAGUGUAUUCUCCGUUUUUGCGGUGUUUAACAAAGACAUGUUUCCUCCAUAAGAAUCGCACUCAUACAAUCUUUAAAAUUUAUUUUUUCUGUUAAGUGAAAACACUCCUCCUCAAUUUUUGGAUAUGUUGUUUAUUAAUAAGCAUACUUUCUUUAAAAAAAUUAAAAUCCAAAAUAAAAAGUGUAUUCUCCGUUUUUGAGGUGAUUAACUACGACAUGUCUCGUCCAUAAGAAUCACAAACGUACAAUCUUUAAAAAUUAUUUUUUUUCUUAAGUGAAAACACUCCUCCUCAAUUUUUGGAUAUAUUGUUUACUAAUAAGCAUACUUUCUUAAAAAAAAUUAAAAUCCAAAAUAAAAAGUGUAUUCUCCGUUUUUGCGGUGUUUAACAAAGACAUGUUUCCUCAAUAAGAAUCGCACACAUAGAAUCUUUAAAAUUUAUUUUUUCUGUUAAGUGAAAACACUCCUCCUCAAUUUUUGGAUAUGUUAUUUAUUAAUAAGCAUACUUUCUUAAAAAAAAUUAAAAUCCAAAAUAAAAAGUGUAUUCUCCGUUUUUGAGGUGAUUAACUACGACAUGUCUCGUCCAUAAGAAUCACAAACGUACAAUCUUUAAAAAUUAUUUUUUUUCUUAAGUGAAAACACUCCUCCUCAAUUUUUGGAUAUGUUGUUUAUUAAUAAGCAUACUUUCUUAAAAAAAAUUAAAAUUUAAAAUAAAAAGUGUAUUUCUCCGUUUUUGAGGUGAUUAACUACGACAUGUGUCUCGUCUAUAAGAAUCACACACGUACAAUCUUUAAAAAUUAUUUUUUUUCUUAAGUGAAAACACUCCUCCUCAAUUUUUGGAUAUGUUGUUUAUUAAUAAGCAUGCUUUAUGAAAAAAAAUUAAAAUCCAAAAUAAAAAGUGUAUUUCUCCGUUUUUGAGGUGAUUAACUACGACAUGUCUCGUCCAUAAGAAUCACACACGUACAAACUUUAAAAAUUAUUUUUUUCUUAAGUGAAAACACUCCUCCUCAAUUUUUGGAUAUAUUGUUUACUAAUAAGCAUACUUUCUUAAAAAAAAUUAAAAUCCAAAAUAAAAAGUGUAUUCUCCGUUUUUGCGGUGUUUAACAAAGACAUGUUUCCUCAAUAAGAAUCGCACACAUAGAAUCUUUAAAAUUUAUUUUUUCUGUUAAGUGAAAACACUCCUCCUCAAUUUUUGGAUAUGUUAUUUAUUAAUAAGCAUACUUUCUUAAAAAAAAUUAAAAUCCAAAAUAAAAAGUGUAUUCUCCGUUUUUGAGGUGAUUAACUACGACAUGUCUCGUCCAUAAGAAUCACAAACGUACAAUGUUUAAAAAUUAUUUUUUUUCUUAAGUGAAAACACUCCUCCUCAAUUUUUGGAUAUGUUGUUUAUUAAUAAGCAUACUUUCUUAAAAAAAAUUAAAAUUUAAAAUAAAAAGUGUAUUUCUCCGUUUUUGAGGUGAUUAACUACGACAUGUGUCUCGUCUAUAAGAAUCACACACGUACAAUCUUUAAAAAUUAUUUUUUUUCUUAAGUGAAAACACUCCUCCUCAAUUUUUGGAUAUGUUGUUUAUUAAUAAGCAUGCUUUAUGAAAAAAAAUUAAAAUCAAAAUAAAAAGUGUAUUUCUCCGUUUUUGAGGUGAUUAACUACGACAUGUCUCGUCCAUAAGAAUCACAAACGUACAAUCUUUAAAAAUUAUUUUUUUUCUUAAGUGAAAACACUCCUCCUCAAUUUUUGGAUAUGUUGUUUAUUAAUAAGCAUACUUUCUUAAAAAAAAUUAAAAUCCAAAAUAAAAAGUGUAUUCUCCGUUUUUGAGGUGAUUAACUACGACAUGUGUCUCGUCUAUAAGAAUCACACACGUACAAACUUUAAAAAUUAUUUUUUUUCUUAAGUGAAAACACUCCUCCUCAAUUUUUGGAUAUGUUGUUUAUUAAUAAGCAUACUUUCUUAAAAAAAAUUAAAAUCCAAAAUAAAAAGUGUAUUCUCCGUUUUUGCGGUGUUUAACAAAGACAUGUUUCCUCAAUAAGAAUCGCACACAUACAAUCUUUAAAAUUUAUUUUUUCUGUUAAGUGAAAACACUCCUCCUCAAUUUUUGGAUAUGUUAUUUAUUAAUAAGCAUACUUUCUUAAAAAAAAUUAAAAUCCAAAAUAAAAAGUGUAUUCUCCGUUUUUGAGGUGAUUAACUACGACAUAUCUCGUCCAUAAGAAUCACAAACGUACAAUCUUUAAAAAUAAUUUUUUUUCUUAAGUGAAAACACUCCUCCUCAAUUUUUGGAUAUGUUGUUUAUUAAUAAGCAUACUUUCUUAAAAAAAAUUAAAAUUUAAAAUAAAAAGUGUAUUUCUCCGUUUUUGAGGUGAUUAACUACGACAUGUGUCUCGUCUAUAAGAAUCACACACGUACAAUCUUUAAAAAUUAUUUUUUUUCUUAAGUGAAAACACUCAUCCUCAAUUUUUGGAUAUGUUGUUUAUUAAUAAGCAUACUUUCUUAAAAAAAAUUAAAAUCCAAAAUAAAAAGUGUAUUCUCCGUUUUUGCGGUGUUUAACAAAGACAUGUUUCCUCCAUAAGAAUCGCACACAUAGAAUCUUUAAAAUUUAUUUUUUCUGUUAAGUGAAAACACUCCUCCUCAAUUUUUGGAUAUGUUGUUUAUUAAUAAGCAUACUUUCUUAAAAAAAAUUAAAAUCCAAAAUAAAAAGUGUAUUCUCCGUUUUUGCGGUGUUUAACAAAGACAUGUUUCCUCCAUAAGAAUCGCACUCAUACAAUCUUUAAAAUUUAUUUUUUCUGUUAAGUGAAAACACUCCUCCUCAAUUUUUGGAUAUGUUGUUUAUUAAUAAGCAUACUUUCUUAAAAAAAAUUAAAAUCCAAAAUAAAAAGUGUAUUCUCCGUUUUUGCGGUGUUUAACAAAGACAUGUUUCCUCCAUAAGAAUCGCACUCAUACAAUCUUUAAAAUUUAUUUUUUCUGUUAAGUGAAAACACUCCUCCUCAAUUUUUGGAUAUGUUGUUUAUUAAUAAGCAUUAUUUCAUAAAGAAAAUUAAAAUCCAAAAUAAAAAGUGUAUUUCUUCGCUUUUUGAGAAUAUGAACUGCAAAGUGUGGAAAAUUGGUUUUAAUAUAAAAUUUUAUAUUAAGUAUAAGUUUUACU